UACGUAGAGAGCAAGCGUUGUCCGGAAUCAUUGGGCGUAAAGCGCGCGUAGGCGGCCCUGUAAGUCCGUUGUGAAAGUCAAAGGCUCAACCUUUGAAAGCCGAUGGAUACUGCAGGGCUAGAGUCCGGAAGAGGCGAGUGGAAUUCCUGGUGUAGCGGUGGAAUGCGCAGAUAUCAGGAGGAACACCAAUAGCGAAGGCAGCUCGCUGGGACGGUACUGACGCUAAGGCGCGAAAGCGUGGGGAGCGAACAGG
rnacentral:rRNA from 1 species